UGAAGGAGUACCGUUGUGAACUUGAUCUCUGUUUCUAUUUAUUCUUCCUCUUGGCCAACACUCCAAUUACUUCCUUCCGAAGCCAUUUCUGAUCGACGCUUCAAAUUGAGGAGUUCUUCUCAGUUUCCGAUCCACCACCACCAUGGCCAUUGCAGCAUCCGAGAUUCUGUAACUUGCUGUGGACAAUCAUCGGGCCGAUAACCAGAGUGCAGUGCACCGUCCAUUCUGUAACUUCCCGAGAUCUUUAAUGUCUGUUCUCCGCCGUCCGCGUUCUACGGAAUACGUCUCGGCCGAAGAUUUCGAUAACCAGAGUGCAGUGCGGCGGCCACGACGCCAAAAAUGGUCCCUUAAUCCCGUCCCGAAUGGGGAAGCAGGCCUGAUAUACACGUUGAAAAAUUAAAAUAAUCAUUCGGACGAUAUCACUGUGCUUAAGUUUUCAAGUGAUGGGAGGUUCGCUGAAGGUUUGGGAUUUGCGCCAAAUGAAAAAACCUCUCAAGGUGUUUGAUACAUUGGCACGCAACGUGUUGAAUUCAAUGAAAAACAGAGCAUACGCGUCCUUCCCUCUUCCUUCCUCGCGACCUUUGAUCGGAAACUCCCGCCACCGCCAGCCGCCGUUGUACGGCCAUUGAAGCCGGAACUGAUUCUUCAUCGGAAGCCUGCCCGGACUUCGGAGUUGUGGCGACUCUGAAACCCUACCAAGUCGAAGGAGUUAUAUGGCUUAUCAGGCGAUAUCUUCUCGGCGUCAACGUCAUUCUUGCCAUACUUUUGCGACAUUACCUGUCAUUUAAGAGAUUUUCAUCUUCCUUUAUGUUGGUAUGAAUUCAUUGGGUAUUGAGAAGUUAAAGUUGCUGAAACGAGGCAACAAUUUGGUGGGCUGGGCUCAUGAGAGGUGCUAUGCAGUUGGCAUUUGCUUUAUAAUCAGUUUUAAGAGACAUCUGAAGGACUGAUGAAACCACGUAUGGUAGUGGGCAUCUGAAGGACUGAUGAAACCACGUAUAGUAGUGGGCGGAGUUGGCAAGCUAACUAGGGGACUGUCAAAGAACUAGAAGAUGGUCAAUCUACACCAAAUAUGUUGUGACUUGUGAUUGACCUCUCAGAUGGCCUUUUCAUGUUCAUACAAAGUCACAUUUGGAUGGUGCGAUCCUUCAGAGGCUGAUCAUUUUGUUUAUCUGGUAUUCAUAUUGGAAAUUGAGAUGCCGGCUGACGUUUUUUCGCAGGUUUGCAUGAGGUUGCUGACACAUCUUUAUCUGAUAAAUUUUUCCUUCGCCAGCGCUCGUGCUGGAUGAAUGAACGUGAUGUUUCAAAUGAUUCUGUGCUGAAACACAGACCUCUUUGGGUUUCAUUCAUGGACGGCUCAUUUGUAAAUCUCUGCAGGCAACAAUUUUGUGGGCUGGGCUCAUGAGAAGUGCCAGUUUUCCGUCUCACAGGCCAUCCUGCCUUGAGACAGGUGAGCUCAUUGACAUGGAGCAUAAUAUUGUAUACAAAGCAUUUUCUGCAGGUCAGGCUGAAUUGAUAGCUCUUGAGAAGGCAUUGAAGGGAUGCAACUCUAUUUAUAUGCAAUGCGGGCGUACUUGGAUGGCAAUAUCCUUAGAUAAGAAAUGGAAAGGUCAGGCUGAUAUGCUUGCGGCAGGUUUGUUUGAGGGCUGGAUGGAGUAUCCUGAUGUUUCAAAUGUUUCUAUCCUGAACAUUAAUCCUUUUUGGGCUACUUUCAUGGAUAUGGUCCCUUAAUCCUGUUCUGGAUGGGGAAGCAGUCGCAGGCCUGAAAUACACGUUGAAAAAUGAAAAUAAUCAUUCGGGUGUGCUUUAGUUUUGAAGUGAUGGGAAUAUAUUACUGUCAAGAAGCUUUGAUGGUUCGCUGAAGGUAUAUUCAGACGAUGUUCACUGUCACUUGUUUCUUCUUCUCCUACUUAUUAACGAUUUUCUCAAGUUUGGGAUUUCCGCCAAAUUAGAAAACCUCUCAAGGUGUUUGAUAGUCUCCCAUUAACUAUGCCCAAACAAAUAGUCCUGAUGAGCAACUCUUUCUGACUCGAACAUCGGUCGAGAAAGAGAGCAAAACGGGAGGUCUGCUCUGCUUCCUUGACAGAACAAAACGGGUGGGAAUAUCCCAAAGUUGAAUCAGAGUUAGAUUUUGUUCGUCUAAGAAGCAUGGAUAAGAGAAACGACACAAGACAGACAUGGAACGAAAACAAAAAACUCCUUCCAGAUAUAUGGCAGAGUUAGAUUUUGACAAAUACCUUCUUCAUUUAGAAGUGGCCUGUAAGAUUCAAUUGAAAUCAUUGACUGAAGAAAUGCAAGCAGUGAGUGUAAAGAUGGAGGCUGCUGCUGGUACACAGUAGAAUCCCACAAGCUAUCAGAGUUGCUGAAAGUGUACUCUUUAUUUCCCUCUUUUUUGUGCGUAUACACAAUGCAUUUCCUGUAAGUUCCAUUUUUUUUUUUUUUUGAGAGUACAUAUCAAAGUUUUUGACUCCCUUUGCAUUGGACCUCGUAUUUUUUAACUGAAUGCCCAUUGUGACAUCAAUCAUCGUGUUGUAUACAAUCUGUAUCCUUCUAAAACGUCUGUAGUAUUUGAAAGGCUGUUCUUUUCAGGAUCUAACAUUCUGCAGUAUUCAGAUAUGUUGUGACCUUGUGAUUGACCUCUCAGAUGGCCUUUUCAUGUCCAUACAAAGUCAUAUUUGGAUGGUGCUACCCGUAGAUAUGUACGAGAGUUUUGCUCUUAUCAAAGGCUGCCACACCUUCAUAAAGCACACCUACGGAUAGCUUAGGUUUAGACAAUGGAUUGAGUCAAUGAAAUCCUGGAAGAAGAAUAUUAUGAAUUUGGAGGAACAAGAAGAAGUUCAAGGAGCAGGAGCCCUCAACACUUGUGUCCUGCUCAAGAAGGUCCAUUUUUAUUUUCUCUCUUCUCUAUCUCUCUCCCUCCCAAAUUUCAAUACCAAUUAUUGGAGCUGGAGCAUUGUAAUUGAACAUAUGUAUUUUUAUUUACAGUUUUCUUAUCUA